rnacentral:tRNA from 1 species
GCUGAAUUCGCUUAGUGGUAAAGCAACUGACUCGUAAUCAGUCGCCACGAGUUCGAUUCUCGUAUUCAGCA